AGUGAACGCUGGCGGUAGGCCUAACACAUGCAAGUCGAGCGGCAGCACAGUAAGAGCUUGCUCUUACGGGUGGCGAGUGGCGGACGGGUGAGGAAUACAUCGGAAUCUACUUUUUCGUGGGGGAUAACGUAGGGAAACUUACGCUAAUACCGCAUACGACCUACGGGUGAAAGCAGGGGAUCUUCGGACCUUGCACGAUUGAAUGAGCCGAAGUCGGAUUAGCUAGUUGGCGGGGUAAAGGCCCACCAAGGCGACGAUCCGUAGCUGGUCUGAGAGGAUGAUCAGCCACACUGGAACUGAGACACGGUCCAGACUCCUACGGGAGGCAGCAGUGGGGAAUAUUGGACAAUGGGCGCAAGCCUGAUCCAGCCAUACCGCGUGGGUGAAGAAGGCCUUCGGGUUGUAAAGCCCUUUUGUUGGGAAAGAAAAGCAGCAGGUUAAUACCCCGCUGUUCUGACGGUACCCAAAGAAUAAGCACCGGCUAACUUCGU
rnacentral:rRNA from 1 species